rnacentral:rRNA from 1 species
AACUAACGCUGGCGGCGUGCCUAACACAUGCAAGUCGUACGAGAAAGUCGGCUUCGGCUGAUGAGUAAAGUGGCGCACGGGUGAGUAACGCGUGGAUAAUCUGCCUUUUAGUUGGGAAUAACGUACCGAAAGGUGCGCUAAUACCGGAUAAUACUGAGCAACUACUGUUGCUUAGUCAAAGAAGGCCUCUGUUUACAAGCUUUUGCUGAAAGAUGAGUCCGCGUACCAUUAGCUAGUUGGUAGGGUAAUGGCCUACCAAGGCUACGAUGGUUAGCUGGUCUGAGAGGAUGAUCAGCCACACUGGAACUGAGACACGGUCCAGACUCCUACGGGAGGCAGCAGUGAGGAAUAUUGCGCAAUGGGGGCAACCCUGACGCAGCAACGCCGCGUGAGUGAGGAAGGUUUUCGGACCGUAAAGCUCUGUCGAGUGGGAAGAAAUGUAUCGUGGCUAAUAUCCAUGAUACUUGACGUACCGCUAAAGGAAGCACCGG